UACGAAGGGGGCUAGCGUUGCUCGGAAUCACUGGGCGUAAAGCGCACGUAGGCGGCUUUCUAAGUCAGGGGUGAAAUCCCGGAGCUCAACUCCAGAACUGCCUUUGAUACUGGGAAGCUUGAGUCCGGAAGAGGUGAGUGGAACCGCGAGUGUAGAGGUGAAAUUCGUAGAUAUUCGCAAGAACACCAGUGGCGAAGGCGGCUCACUGGUCCGGUACUGACGCUGAGGUGCGAAAGCGUGGGGAGCAAACAGG
rnacentral:rRNA from 1 species